rnacentral:rRNA from 1 species
GUUCCAGACUCCUACGGGAGGCAGCAGUGGGGGAUAUUGCCCAAUGGGGGGCCCCCUGAUGCAGCCCUGCCUCGUGAAGUAUGACGGUUUUCGGCUUUUCAACUUCUUUUUUCCGGGACGAAGCCCGUGACGGUACCUUUCUAAUAAGCCCCGUCUAACUACGUGCCCUCAGCCGCGUUCCUCCGGAGGAUUCUCGCGUUAUCCGUCUUUCUUGGGUUUAACGGGUGCGUAGGCGGACGCUUAAGUCAGCGGUAAAUUUGGGGGGCUCAACCUCUGCGAGCCGUUGAAACUGGGUGCCUUGAGUGGGCGAGAAGUACGCGGAAUGCGUGGUGUAGCGGUGAAAUGCAUAGAGAGCAAGCAGAACUCCGAUUGCGAAGGCAGCGUACCGGCGCCCAACUGACGCUGAAGCACGAAGGCGUGGGGAUCGAACAGGAUUAGAUACCCUAGUA